rnacentral:rRNA from 1 species
CUGAUGGCGAGUGGCGAACGGGUGAGUAAUGCAUCGGAACGUGCCUAAUCGUGGGGGAUAACGCAGCGAAAGCUGUGCUAAUACCGCAUACGAUCUAAGGAUGAAAGCGGGGGACUUUUAAGCCUCGCGCGAUUGGAGCGGCCGAUGUUAGAUUAGGUAGUUGGUGAGGUAAAAGCUCACCAAGCCGACGAUCUAUAGCUGGUCUGAGAGGACGACCAGCCACACUGGAACUGAGACACGGUCCAGACUCC